AUGUACACACCUACAACUUUAAUGCACUAGAUCCCAUUAGAAAUCUGUAGUUAAGCGCACUUGAGAUAGAGUAGUACUGGAAUGGGUGACCACUUGAGAAGUCCUAGUGUUUUACAUG
rfam:Picea glauca, whole genome shotgun sequence.